CAGCCGCCACGGUAAUACGGAGGGUGCAAGCGUUAAUCGGAAUUACUGGGCGUAAAGCGCACGCAGGCGGUUUGUUAAGUCAGAUGUGAAAUCCCCGAGCUUAACUUGGGAACUGCAUUUGAAACUGGCAAGCUAGAGUCUUGUAGAGGGGGGUAGAAUUCCAGGUGUAGCGGUGAAAUGCGUAGAGAUCUGGAGGAAUACCGGUGGCGAAGGCGGCCCCCUGGACAAAGACUGACGCUCAGGUGCGAAAGCGUGGGGAGCAAACAGGAUUAGAUACCCGCGUAGUCCCUGUCUCUUAUAC
rnacentral:rRNA from 1 species